rnacentral:rRNA from 1 species
CAGUAGCCGCGGUAAUACGAAGGGGGCUAGCGUUGUUCGGAUUUACUGGGCGUAAAGGGCGCGUAGGCGGGCGAAUAAGUCAGGGGUGAAAUCCCAAGGCUCAACCUUGGAACUGCCUUUGAUACUGUUUGUCUUGAGUUCGAGAGAGGUAAGUGGAACUGCGAGUGUAGAGGUGAAAUUCGUAGAUAUUCGCAAGAACACCAGUGGCGAAGGCGGCUUACUGGCUCGAAACUGACGCUGAGGCGCGAAAGCGUGGGGAGCAAACAGGAUUAGAGACCCCUGUAGUCCCUGUCUCUUAUAC